rnacentral:rRNA from 1 species
CAUUAAAGCGGUACGCGAGCUGGGUUCAGAACGUCGUGAGACAGUUCGGUCCCUAUCCGGCGCAGGCGAAGGAUAUUUGAGAGGAGCUGCCCUUAGUACGAGAGGACCGGGGUGGACGGACCGCUGGUGUAUCUGUUGGAGACCAACUCCAUGGCAGAGUAGCCAAGUCCGGCAGGGAUAAACGCUGAAGGCAUCUAAGCGUGAAGCCCCCCUCAAGAUGAGAUAUCCCAUUUCUUUAAGAAAGUAAGACCCCUUGAAGACUACAAGGUAGAUAGGAGUGAGGUGUAAGCAUGGUAACAUGUUCAGCUGACGCUUACUAAUCGGUCGAGGGCUUUUCCA